rnacentral:rRNA from 1 species
AUGAGGUAUCUUGAUCUUGUUAAAUUAGAAAGAGCACCUCACUGCAGUACAAAUACAGUGCUUACCGACAAAAAACAUCUAAAACAACUAACACUAGAGUGGACUGAACAUGGAGAGGGGUCAUAUUCAGAGGAAGAUGUCAUCAAUGCCGAGAAGGUCUUUGAGCAGCUAAUACCUCCAGCUAACCUGGAAGACCUAUGUAUUAUUACAUUCUUUGGUCAGCGGUAUCCCACCUGGUUUGGUACCACCUGUUUGUCUUCCUUAUUAUACUUGAAACUCAUAGAUGUACGAUCAUGUGUGCAUCUUCCACCGAUCUGGCAGCUACCCAACUUGAAAUUUCUGAAGAUUGAUGGAGCACAUGCAGUUACCAAGGUUGGGCCUGAAUUUGUUGGCUGUAAGAAGGGUGAUCCUGUAUGUAAUGAGUUGGUUGCUUUCCCCAAACUUGAAGGCUUGAUCUUCAAGGACAUGCCCAACUGGGGGGCGUGGUCAUUUUUUGAGGAAGAAGUUGUUGCUGCUGAUGUAAGAGGAGAGGAUGGAGCUGCUGAGAUUCAAAAGGAGGAUGCCCAAUCUGCAAGGUUGCAACUCCUGCCUCGUUUGGUGAAGUUGCAACUCAUAGGUUGCCCGAAGCUGAGGGCUCUGCCGCCACAGCUUGGAGAGGACACUGCCAGCUUGAAGGAGAUGCUUUUAAUUGGAAUAAACAACUUGAAGGCCGUGGAGGACCACCCAGUGCUCUCUGAGCUCGUUAUUAGGAGAUGUAAAGGCCUCGAGAGAGUCUGCGACCUCCCUCAAGUGACAGACCUGCGUGUACUAGGUUGUCCAAACUUAAGCCAUGUAGAGGGGUUGGGUAGUUUGCAUCAGCUGGGGCUGGGCGAGGAUAUGCAAGAGGCCCUUACGUGCUGGGUGCCUAAGCUUCAAGACCAGCACCAGCGACUUCAUGGCGAGGACCUGGAUAUGUACACAUAUUCUACCGGUUAG